UACGGAGGAUGCAAGCGUUAUCCGGAAUGAUUGGGCGUAAAGCGUCCGCAGGUGGCUAUGUAAGUCUGCUGUUAAAGAGUGAGGCUCAACCUCAUAAGAGCAGUGGAAACUACAUGGCUAGAGUGCGUUCGGGGCAGAGGGAAUUCCUGGUGUAGCGGUGAAAUGCGUAGAUAUCAGGAGGAACACCGGUGGCGAAGGCGGCUCUCUGGACCACAACUGACGCUGAGGCGCGAAAGCAUGGGGAGCGAACAGG
rnacentral:rRNA from 1 species